rnacentral:rRNA from 1 species
GAUGAACGCUGGUGGCGUGCCUAACACAUGCAAGUCGAGCGAUUCUCUUCGGAGAAGAGCGGCGGACGGGUGCGUAACGCGUGGGUAACCUGCCCUGUACACACGGAUAACAUACCGAAAGGUAUGCUAAUACGAGAUAACAUGCUUUUAUCGCAUGGUAGAAGUAUCAAAGCUUUUGCGGUACAGGAUGGACCCGCGUCUGAUUAGCUAGUUGGUGAGGUAACGGCUCACCAAGGCGACGAUCAGUAGCCGACCUGAGAGGGUGAUCGGCCACAUUGGAACUGAGACACGGUCCAAACUCCUACGAGAAGCAGCAGUGGGGAAUAUUGCACAAUGGGCGAAAGCCUGAUGCAGCAACGCCGCGUGAGCGAUGAAGGCCUUCGGGUCGUAAAGCUCUGUCCUCAAGGAAGAUAAUGACGGUACUUGAGGAGGAAGCCCCGGCUAACUACGUG